GAAUGAAUGUAAAGCGCUUUGGGUACCAUGAAGGUGUAUAAAAUGCGCUCUAUAAGUUCAGUCCAUUUGCCAUUUAUCAUUUAC